rnacentral:rRNA from 1 species
AAUACCGCAUAAGCGCACACUGUCGCAUGACAGAGUGUGAAAAUUUCCGGAGGUAUACGAUGGACCCGCGUCUGAUUAGCCAGUUGGCAGGGUAACGGCCUACCAAAGCAACGAUCAGUAGCCGGCCUGAGAGGGUGGACGGCCACAUUGGGACUGAGACACGGCCCAAACUCCUGCGGGAGGCAGCAGUGGGGGAUAUUGCACAAUGGGGGAAACCCUGAUGCAGCGACGCCGCGUGAGUGAAGAAGCAUUUCGGUGUGUAAAGCUCUAUCAGCAGGGAAGAAGAAUGACGGUACCUGACUAAGAAGCCCCGGCUAACUACGUGCCAGCAGCCGCGGUAAUACGUAGGGGGCAAGCGUUAUCCGGAUUUACUGGGUGUAAAGGGAGCGUAGACGGCAAUGCAAGCCAGAUGUGAAAACCCGCAGCUCAACUGGGGGAGUGCAUUUGGAACUGUGUAGCUGGAGUGCAGGAGAGGUAAGCGGAAUUCCUGGUGUAGCGGUGAAAUGCGUAGAUAUCAGGAGGAACACCAGUGGCGAAGGCGGCUUACUGGACUGUAACUGACGUUGAGGCUCGAAAGCGUGGGGAGCAAACAGGAUUAGAUACCCUGGUAGUCCACGCUGUAAACGAUGAAUACUAGGUGUCGGGGGUUUACGGACGCCCGGUGCCGCAGC